rnacentral:rRNA from 1 species
UACGAAGGGGGCUAGCGUUGCUCGGAUUUACUGGGCGUAAAGCGCGCGUAGGCGGGCAUUUAAGUCAGGGGUGAAAUCCCAGGGCUCAACCCUGGAACGGCCUUUGAUACUGGAUGCCUGGAGAUCGGGAGAGGUUGGUGGAAUUCCGAGUGUAGAGGUGAAAUUCGUAGAUAUUCGGAGGAACACCAGAAGCGAAGGCGGCCAACUGGCCCGAUACUGACGCUGAGGCGCGAAAGCGUGGGGAGCAAACAGG